rnacentral:rRNA from 1 species
UACGGAGGGUGCAAGCGUUAAUCGGAAUUACUGGGCGUAAAGCGCAUGUAGGCGGGUUAUUAAGUCAGAUGUGAAAUCCUUGGGCUUAACCUGAGAAUGGCAUCUGAUACUGGUAGUCUAGAAUCUGAGAGAGGGAAGUGGAAUUUCCGGUGUAGCGGUGAAAUGCAUAGAGAUCGGAAGGAACAUCAGUGGCGAAGGCGACUUCCUGGCUCAAGAUUGACGCUGAGAUGCGAAGGCGUGGGUAGCAAACAGG